AGAGCGAACGCUGGCGGCAGGCCUAACACAUGCAAGUCGAACGGACCCUUCGGGGUUAGUGGCGGACGGGUGAGUAACACGUGGGAACGUGCCUUUUGGUUCGGAAUAGCUCCUGGAAACGGGUGGUAAUGCCGAAUGUGCCCUUCGGGGGAAAGAUUUAUCGCCAUUAGAGCGGCCCGCGUCUGAUUAGCUAGUUGGUGAGGUAAGGCUCACCAAGGCUACGAUCAGUAGCUGGUCUGAGAGGAUGACCAGCCACAUUGGGACUGAGACACGGCCCAAACUCCUACGGGAGCAGCAGUGGGGAAUCUUGCGCAAUGGG
rnacentral:rRNA from 1 species